rnacentral:pre_miRNA from 1 species
UUAACUCAUAUUUGUAUGGAGUUGGAAAGUUUUCCUACGUUUGCCGCUAGGGGCGCUAUUCGAACUGCAUACAAAUUCGAGGUA